UACGUAUGGAGCAAGCGUUAUCCGGAUUUACUGGGUGUAAAGGGAGCGUAGACGGUUUGGCAAGUCUGAAGUGAAAGCCCGGGGCUCAACCCCGGGACUGCUUUGGAAACUGUCGAACUAGAGUGCAGGAGAGGUAAGUGGAAUUCCUAGUGUAGCGGUGAAAUGCGUAGAUAUUAGGAGGAACACCAGUGGCGAAGGCGGCUUACUGGACUGUAACUGACGUUGAGGCUCGAAAGCGUGGGGAGCAAACAGG
rnacentral:rRNA from 1 species